UCCAAGCGUUAACACGCAUUUCAACAACUCUCCGAAAACCCUUAUUCUACUGUCCUCCGCGGGUGAUUAAUACUUAUCAGUAUAUAAUAUUUGGCGACGAGGAAAAAGUAAGUGAAAACUUAGAUAAAGUGCGCGUGCAUAAAAUCGAGUGCCUUUUGCCCGUGUUGAACAACUUUGCCUUCGUUUGGAGUGAGCAGUUUUGCCCCGGCGGUGGCGCGAUACCUGCAGGAGCAGCAAAGAAUAAAAUUGCCUCGGGCGGAGGUGCGGAUUCUGCUGUAGUGGCAGUGAAAGGCCUGUGAAAAGAAAUCGGAAUUUUCCCCGACGGGGACUGUCCGGAGUAGCGGUACAGUGAUUUUGAUAACGAGCUUCGGCGGCUGAGACGGUGUGUUUUGUUCGCUGUACCGUAACGCCAUUUUGUGUUCAGUGGAGUAAAACAAAAGUGAUUUUACGGGAAGAAAAGUGUUUCAAGUUUUAUUAACGAGACUUUUUCUUUAUAUUUAACGAAGGUUUAGAGAUCCGUCGGUACGGUGAAGGAAAAUUUUAGCAGCUGUUUGGCCAUUUUGUGCGGUUUCGCUGGCGGAUAUUGAAAUCUGUUUUCAGUAGACAACUGUGUUUCCGUCUCGAGAUCCGUGAGAAUUCGCUUCUAUUGGUGCCGGAUUGUUGCUGACUGACCGUAACGAUUACGACGAAUACGACGACGAUAUCGGCGACGAGCAGCCGGUUGGCCAGACAAUUCCUUUUCAUUUUUGGAGUACAACCGUCGAAGUGUCUGGUAGCGUUGCCACGCUUCGGUAACAAGUUCAUUCAUAAUUGAUUACGAUUGAAAACGGUAAGAUUACCACGGCGCACCGAAGUCAAGUUAAGAUCACCAAUGAUGCGGGCGGCCGUGUGCGGCGAAGGAUGGUGGUGCAUGUCGAUCGUACUGUCGAUAACCCUGGUCCAUCUCCACCACCACUGCAAGAAAC